GCCCGCAUAGCUCAGUUGGUAGAGCAACUGACUCUUAAUCAGUGGGUCCAAGGUUCGAGCCCUUGUGCGGGUACCA
rnacentral:tRNA from 3 species